AUGGCCACAACUCCACCAUCUUCCACGAGCUACCUGCUCAUCAUCCUAGCCCUAGCCCUAGCACUAGCAGCCUCUGCCGUCGCUGCUGCAAGUGGAAACGGGAGCUGCAUCCCGGCAGAGAGGGCGGCGCUGCUCGCAUUCAAGGCCGCCAUCACAAGCGACCCGGCGAACCUCCUCGGCUCGUGGCAUCAUGGCCACGACUGCUGCCAAUGGGGCGGCGUGAGGUGCCACAGCCGGACAGGCCACGUCGUCAAGCUCGACCUCCACAACGAAUUCGUCGAACAAGAUUACGCUUCUUUUUGGUUCCCUGGUAACCAUUCGCUGCAUGGCCAGAUAAGUUCUUCGCUGCUCGCUCUGCCCCAUCUCAAGCAUCUGAACCUUAGCGGGAACAUGGUUCUCGGAGAUGGAAGGCCUAUACCAGAGUUCAUGGGUUCCCUCCGGAGAUUGACACACCUUGACCUAUCUUCCUUGAAUUUCAGUGGUAGACUGCCUCCUCAGCUAGGCAACCUAUCCAAACUCGUGUAUCUUGACAUAAACUGUGGUAGGACCUCUGAUAUGAUGACAUACUCAAUGGAUAUUUCUUGGUUAGCCCGUCUCCCCUCACUCAAGCAUCUCGACAUGGGCGGUGUGAACCUUAGCGCAGCGGUACACUGGGUUCACACACUAAACAAGCUUCCGAACCUGGUUGUGUUGGAACUCAAUUAUUGUGGCCUUAAUGAUUAUAGUGGGAGUACGUCUCUCCUACUCCAUAACCUCACGCUUCUUGAGGAACUUGAUCUCUCAAACAACCAUUUAAACAGUCCAGCUGUAAAGAAUUGGCUUUGGGGUUUAACAAGCCUCAAAAGCCUAAUCAUAUACGGUGCUGAAUUAGGGGGAGCUUUUCCUCCCGAGUUGGGAAACUUGACCUUAUUAGAGACCCUUGACCUGUCAUUCAACCACAUCAAAGGGAUGAUACCGGCGACUCUGAAAAAGGUGUGUAACUUGAGAUAUCUAGACCUCGAAGUGAACAACAUUGAUGGGGACAUAUCAGAACUAAUUCAAAGGCUACCAAAUUGUUCUUCUAAGAAUCUGCAAGUCCAGACUUUGGGAGAGACCAACAUCACAGGGACAACUUUACAAUCACUUGUAAACCUAUCCAGCUUAAACACGCUUGAACUUGGUUUCAACCACUUGAGAGGUUCUGUGCCCGUGGAGAUUGGGACACUUACAAAUUUGACCAACUUGUCCCUUAAGUUUAACAAACUUACUGGUGUGAUAUCUGAGGAUCAUUUUUCUGGUCUGACGAAUUUAAAACAAAUUGACUUGUCUUAUAAUAAUGGUUUGGCAGUCAUCGUGGGUUCGGACUGGGAACCUCCCUUCAACUUGCAAUUGACAAGGCUUGCAUCUUGUCAUUUGGGCCCCCAGUUCCCUAAAUGGCUGCGAUCGCAAAAAGGCAUUGUACUUCUUGAUAUUUCAAACGCAGGUAUCACAGAUAGGAUCCCAUAUUGGUUCUGGACUACCUUUUCGGAUGCCCAGUUUUUAAAUGUCUCAUUUAACCAAAUUAGUGGUGAGCUGCCACCUAAUUUGGACUUCAUGUCAAUGGAAGUACUUUUUCUCCAGUCAAAUCAUCUAACUGGUUUGGUACCACAAUUACCAAGAACAAUUGUAUUCUUGGACAUCUCCAGAAAUUGUUCAAGUGGGUUUGUGCCAUCAAAUUCACAAGCUCCAUCUUUAGAGGCUGUCGUUCUCUUUUCCAACUGUAUAAUUGGGGCUAUUCCAAGGUCAUUUUGUCAGUGGUCAAAUCUGCGGCUCUUAGAUCUUUCAAACAAUCAGCUUGUAGGGCAACUUCCCGACUGUGGCAGAAAAGAAACGAGACGAUGGCAUAACACAAGCAACAACAUUUCAAGGGUCAGAAUCACAAGCCAUUUCGGUUUGGAAGUCCGUACUCUCCUUGUAAGCAACAAUAGUCUUUCAGGUGGAUUCCCUUCACUCCUACGACGGUGCCGAAAUCUUCUUUUCCUCGACCUAGCUCAAAAUAAAUUGAGUGGAGAGCUACCUGCAUGGAUUAGUGAUCGAAUGGCAGCUUUGAUCAUGCUACGCUUAAGAUCGAACAACUUCUCAGGUCACGUUCCAAUUGAAAUAACCGGACUUCUUGCUCUUCGCAUCCUUGACCUAGCUAAUAACACCUUUUAUGGGGAUAUUCCACAAAGUUUAGUGAAUUUCAAAGCUUUGACUGCCAUUAAUGAAGCUGUAGAUCCAGAAAACAAUCCUUUCACAGAAGAAUAUAUUGGGGCGACGUCGUACGACAAUAUGGGGCUGACUGGGGAUAGUUUAUCAGUUGUCAUAAAAGGCCAAGUGCUUGCCUACAGGGAGAAUAGUGUAUAUUUGAUGAGUAUUGAUUUAUCCUGCAACAGUUUUACUGGACAAAUCCCAGAAGAUAUUAGCUCUCUUGUUGGACUCAUAAACCUGAAUUUGUCAUCAAACUUCUUGAGCGGAAAUAUCCCAUACAAGAUUGGAAAUCUGCAAGCACUCGAGUCUCUUGAUCUCUCAAAGAACCAGCUUUCUGGCGAAAUUCCGCUGGGCUUAUCAAAUUUGACAUCAUUGAGCUAUAUGAACUUGUCAUAUAAUGGUCUAUCAGGUAGAAUACCAUUGGGGCGUCAACUAGAUACCCUUAAAACAGAUGAUCCAGCUUCUAUGUACAUUGGCAACCCUGCUCUUUGUGGACGUCCCCUUCCAAAGCAAUGUCUUGGAGAUGAACCAACUCAAGGAGAUUCAGUAAGAUGGGAUAAAGAUGGUCAAUCUCAAAUGGAUAUUUUGUUUAGCCUGAUUGUGGGGUUUGUGGUAGGCCUCUGGAUGGUAAUUUGUGGCCUUGUGUUCAUGAAGAAAUGGAGGUACACUUAUUUCAGGUUACUUGAUAAGUUAUCUGACAAGGUCUAUGUCAUCUCUGUUGUUACUUGGCACAAAUGGUCCAGAAACAUUGGCGAAAAUUAA
rnacentral:rRNA from 1 species